UGGUGAAUUUUAGCCUCUUUAUGAGAAAAAAGAAACCCAUCAGGAUUAGAUGCAGCAGUCCGUCUGCAUUUAAAAGACAAAGACCACGCUUUUGAAGACAGCAAAGUCCAUAUUUUUGACAGCGAGGACUGCUGGUUUGAAAGAGGGGUCAAAG